rnacentral:tRNA from 1 species
GGGGUAUUGGUCUAGUGGUAUGAUACUCUCUUAGGGCUGUAUUCAUCAAAAUACGGUUUCAGAGACUCGAGCUCGAGUCACUCCGAGCGCAGUUCCCGAAGGCGAUUUAACUUGGGAGUGGUCCGCGGUUCGAUUCCGCGAUACCCCC